CUUUGUAUGUCUUAUUAUUUUAUUUAAUUGAGUAUUUAUUGGGAGAAAAGCUGAGCGUUGGGAGAGAAGCUGAGGCAGGCCUUCCAUGUCUGCUAGACUUGCUGGCUCCUUGCUUUUAGCACUCCCGUUAUUUCAGGCAGUCGUAUGUUUCUCAUUCACUUGAUACACUGUUUAUUUCAACACGCACAUCCUCACCACCUGUUUGUUUGUUUAUUUCAGCACCAAUAAAUAGCAUGGGCUCCCAGAGCUCAGAGCCUUCACAGCCUGCACACUCGGGAUGGCCACCAGGUUCCACUUUCUCUCUCAAACUGUCUUUUUCUCAUUCCUUUGACUCUGCCAGACUUCGUCAACCCCAUGAACUGGUGUUGAGUCUGAUCAUCCCAACAUUCCUGGCUACCUAAUGUGGGGUGAUGAAGACCCUGGUGAAGGAAAGCUAGAGCAUAUGAAAGCAGAGGAUGCAUCAUCAAAGGACACCCGAGGAGGUCUAAAAGAAGCUCAGCAGGAAAGCUGAGCACUCGGAAGAACCAGGGUAACAAUGGGACAAAGUGAAAGCAGACAUUCUGCCUAUUUAAAUUUCUUAAGGCGUUUAUUACAAAAAGUGGGAGUGAAGGUGACAAUCAGUUACCUGUGUGGGUGCCCACCGAACAUCUGAAGAUCUAUUAUGAACCCCAGCAUCUAGUGGACCCACCUGUACAGUGCAAAUUGAAGGGUUAAGGAUUACUUUUAAGCAUCGAUUUGCUCUCUCUGUGCCUUCUGUUAGAAGCGGACUUUUCCUCGUUAUCAAUUGUAAGUUUUACCCCACAGUAAUUAACCAAAGAGGCAGACGCUGAGUUACCAAUGCUUCAGCAAUAGCAUGUCUCCCAGCUACAGCCACAGAAGUUUUUGCUUCUGUUUCAGUAGAUUUACUAACAUGGAGGUGAGGGUAUGCUUGUAUUUUUGCAGGAGAUGAACAAACCAUGUAGGUACCCUCAAGAUGUGUACAACCAUGGACUGGGUUGCCCCAGUAUAAGCCAUGCUGAGAAACUGCUGGAUUGCCAAGGUUUUACCUAUAGAUGCUUAAAGGACCAGUGCUUUCUGACUGAACUCCUCUCUAUCCUGAAUACAAGAGACCCUAAUAGUUAGGCAGGAGUAUCAUUACCCCUACUCAGCAUGAAGAUGUUACAGAAGACGGACCUUCAUCCUUCUGCAACCCCUAGGAUUAAGGGUCCUCUUGUAAAAGGGAAAGGGGGAAUAUGUGAGAAGCCUUCAACCCAGAGCAACUCUAUUUUGAAUAAGGGCUAAGAAAAAUGAAGCUGGAUCACUAAACAGCAAUUAAGUGCUGCACAGCCUGCAAUUGCCUUGCUCAGUUAAUUUAAAAAAAGAGGCCACCUUAUGGUAAUAAUAAUGAAAGCUAUAGCAGUUUUUACAAAAAAGAGAAGCGGGGCAUGUUGGGAGAAAAGCUGAGUGUUUGGAGAGAAGCUGAGCCAGGGCUUGCAGGUCUGCUAGACUUGCCGGCUCCUUGCUUCUAGCAUUCCCGUUAUCUCAAGCAGUCAUAUGUUUCUCAUUCACUUGAUACACUGUUUCUUUUCAACCCCCGCAUCCUCACCACCUGUUUGUUUGUUUGUUUGAGCACCAAUAAAUAGCAUGGGCUCCCAGAGCUCAGGGCCUUGGCAGCCUCCACACUCACGAUGGCCCCCAGGUCCCACUUUCUCUCUCAA